GUGCCAGCAGCCGCGGUAAUACAGAGGUCCCAAGCGUUGUUCGGAUUCACUGGGCGUAAAGGGUGCGUAGGAGGUCGGGAAAGUCGGAUGUGAAAUCUCACCGCUUAACGGUGAAACUGCAUUCGAUACUGCUCGACUAGAGGAUCGGAGGGGAAAGCAGAAUUCUUGGUGUAGCGGUGAAAUGCGUAGAUAUCGUAAGGAAGACCAGUGGCGAAGGCGGGUCUCUGGACAGUUCCUGACGCUGAGGCACGAAGGUCAGGGGAGCAAACGGGAUUAGAUACCCCAGUAGUCC
rnacentral:rRNA from 1 species